CUUGACUGUAGCUUGGAAUUGGGUUCGGGCUCUUCUUGCGCAGGAUAGGUGGGAGGCUAUGAAGAUUUCCUUCCGGGGAAGUUGGAGCCAUCAGUGAGAGACCACUCUGGAGAGGCUAGAAUCCUAAUGGUGAUCCUUGAAUCAGGACACUUGACAGUUUCAGGUGGGCAGUUUUUCUGGGGCGGAAGCCUCAUAAAGGGUAACUGAGGCGCGCAAAGGUCCCCUCAGUCUGGACGGAAAUCAGACAACGAGUGUAAAGGCAAAAGGGGGCUUGACUGCAAGACCUACAAGUCGAGCAGGAGCGAAAGCUGGCCUUAGUGAUCCGACGGUACCGUGUGGAAGGGCCGUCGCUCAACGAAUAAAAGUUA
rnacentral:rRNA from 1 species